rnacentral:rRNA from 1 species
GCCAGACUCCUACGGGAGGCAGCAGUGAGGAAUAUUGGUCAAUGGCCGGAAGGCUGAACCAGCCAAGUCGCGUGAGGGAAUAAGGCCCUAUGGGUCGUAAACCUCUUUUGUCGGGGAGCAAAAGACGCCACGCGUGGCGUUCCGAGAGUACCCGAAGAAAAAGCAUCGGCUAACUCCGUGCCAGCAGCCGCGGUAAUACGGAGGAUGCGAGCGUUAUCCGGAUUUAUUGGGUUUAAAGGGUGCGCAGGCGGAAGAUCAAGUCAGCGGUAAAAUUGGGAGGCUCAACCUCUUCGAGCCGUUGAAACUGGUUUUCUUGAGUGAGUGAGAAGUAUGCGGAAUGCGUGGUGUAGCGGUGAAAUGCAUAGAUAUCACGCAGAACUCCGAUUGCGAAGGCAGCAUACCGGCGCUCAACUGACGCUCAUGCACGAAAGUGUGGGUAUCGAACAGGAUUAGAUACCCUGGUAC